rnacentral:rRNA from 1 species
UCUUCCGCAAUGGACGAAAGUCUGACGGAGCAACGCCGCGUGAGUGAUGAAGGUUUUCGGAUCGUAAAACUCUGUUGUUAGGGGAGAACAAGUACCGUUCGAAUAGGGCGGCACCUUGACGGUACCUAACCCGAAAGCCACGGCUAACUCAGUGCCAGCAUCCGCGGUAAUACGUAGGUGGCAAGCGUUGUACGGAAUUAUUGGGCGUAAAGCGCGCGCAGACGGUUUCUUAAGUCUGAUGUGAAAGCCCCCGGCUCAACCGGGGAGGGUCAUUGGAAACUGGGGAACUUGAGUGCAGAAGAGGAGAGUGGAAUUCCACGUGUAGCGGUGAAAUGCGUAGAGAUGUGGAGGAACACCAGUGGCGAAGGCGACUCUCUGGUCUGUAACUGACGCUGAGGCGCGAAAGCAUGGGGAGCGAACAG